rnacentral:rRNA from 1 species
AGAUAAGGAGCUUGCUCCUUUGACGUUAGCGGCGGACGGGUGAGUAACACGUGGGUAACCUACCUAUAAGACUGGAAUAACUCCGGGAAACCGGGGCUAAUGCCGGAUAACAUGUUGAACCGCAUGGUUCUACAGUGAAAGACGGUCUUGCUGUCACUUAUAGAUGGACCCGCGCCGUAUUAGCUAGUUGGUGGGGUAACGGCCUACCAAGGCGACGAUACGUAGCCGACCUGAGAGGGUGAUCGGCCACACUGGAACUGAGACACGGUCCAGACUCCUACGGGAGGCAGCAGUAGGGAAUCUUCCGCAAUGGGCGAAAGCCUGACGGAGCAACGCCGCGUGAGUGAUGAAGGUCUUCGGAUCGUAAAGCUCUGUUGUUAGGGAAGAACAAAUGUGUAAGUAACUGUGCACAUCUU